rnacentral:misc_RNA from 1 species
UUUCCGUAGGUGAACCUGCGGAAGGAUCAUUAUCGUAAAACCGAGGUGCGAGGGCUGUCGGGGACCUUUUCGGUCGUGCACGCCCGAGCGCUCUCACACAAUCCAUCUCACCCCUUGUGCACCACCGCGUGGGUCCCUUUCUGGCUCGUCCGGCGGGGGGCUCGCGUUUUCACACAAACUUGAAGUAGUGUAGAAUGUCCUUUUUUUGCGAUAACACGCAAUACAUACAACUUUCAGCAACGGAUCUCUUGGCUCUC